GGCCUCCCAGUGCUUGCCACAGGCUGUGUUCUUACACUGACUGUAUAGAUAUAGGAGACAAAGCAAACCUACCCCUGGUGCCCUGUGCUUGAUCUGUAUUGUGAAUGGGGAGACCUGG
rnacentral:snoRNA from 1 species